AAAACUGUUUAUAAAGUCAAUUCACUUAAGGAGACAAGAAACUGUGUACAAGAUCCGUUUAACCUCAGCGGUGUUCUCCGUGGGGUGAGCCCAGGGUGCCGGGAGGAGGGAGCACAGGCCAAGGGCCCCCGCCCCGAGCGGCCUGGCCCGGGAUGGCUCGGCAGGAAGGCUCGGCUGGCCUGGGCCGGCCUCUCGCCCAGAGCCGAGUGCAGAGCACACCGGGCCGCUGGCGAACCCGGCGGGUACCAUCUGUGAGCCUGAAGGGACGGUGUGGCUUGUGCGCUCAGGACCCGCUCACGGUAAUGUCUCUUUUUAGCUGCCGGUUCCUUCUGAACGAGUUGAUUUUGGAGGUUGUUCUUUUGCAUGGCUAGGUUGCUUCAUGCAAUCUUGAGCCCCUCCCAGCAGAUAACAUUCCUGAGGCCACCGGCAUUCCUCAGCCUCUAGGCCCAAACACCUAGAGGAGAAGCGCUCCAGACAGUGGAAGCUCCCCCGCAGCACAAAUCAGGGUCCACGUCCCCCCCAGCACCUGUGGACCAUCUCUCUUCAGAAGCCUGGUGUGCAGGAAACUCAUUACCCCUCGUCUGACGUCCAGAGAGGGCUGCCACCAGCCUCCUGGGCAUGGGGCGUGUGGUCCAGGACCUCCCCUGCCCUGAUUCACCACCUCCAGGCCUCCACCGGGGAGCAGACGGGACUUGUGUGAGCCUGCGGGCCAUGGACUCAGGCCGUGACAGGCCAGGUGAGAGGGUGAAUUCCUAAGCUAGGUACCUUUGCGGAGAACACCCCGCCUCCAGCACGGCAGGAAUUUGGGGCUGCGGGCGAGGGCCAGGAAUGCAGGGCAGAGGGCAGCAGGCAGGAUCUGAGGCGGGCUGGACGCCUGCCCAGAAACAGGCGCGGGCUUGUGUCAGCCCCGCGCCAGCACCCGGAGGGUGGGGCGGUCAGCACAGUGACCCGAGAGACAAGCGUUGGCCUGCCCGUCCUCGUGCCGGGUGACAGUUCGGGGCAGAGCUGCCCAGGGUCCCUCUGCUCGGAGGCCCUUUCUGAGCGGGGGCAGCUGGCGGGAGGCCCAGAGCUGGGGUCGGGGAAGCUCUGCUGUUCCCAUGCCCCACGCCGUGCAGGGCAGCCCGAGAGAGGCCCUGGGAGGACGAGUGGCCCACUGCUGACCCGACCCCUUGCACAGGCUGCGGAUGCCGGGCCCUCCCCCGUCAGACACCUCAAAGAGGACACAGGACACUGGCUGCAUUGGAAAAAGACAAGUAGAUGGGGGCAUCCCCCUCCUGGGGACGGCGUGAGAGGUCAGGUGGGCCCGUCCGCCGUGGGCACAGGGACAGGUCGAGGUGAAGGUGUGAGGAACGUCGCCCUGCGUUACCUGCUGGUGGCAGAGGCUGGAGCCGGGUGGCAGCCGUCUCUGAAGGGCUGGUAAGGACGCAGGCACAGUGCCUCGAAGGACCCCAGCACGGCUCCAUUAGGUACAGUUUCUGCUCCAGAACAUUAAUCCGUUUUAAUUAGGGGCCCACAGUCCAAAGGGAUUCCACAAGGAGGUCUGGGCAGGUGGGGCACAGGCAGGUGGCCGGGCUGGGCAGUGGGAGGGGUGGCAGGAGGAGGGGAAGAGGCAGCCAUGGUGCCGGGAGCCCCUCAGGUUCCAGUCCUCGUGCACCAGCGGUGGCGCCGGCGGCUGGGGGGUUCCCGGCCCCCGGGGCUCAGAGCUGUGUUUGCAGCGAGCCCAGCGCACUGCGGCCCCUCACUUGUGAGUCUGUGUUGAUACAGAGGCGAGGGUGGGUCAGGAGGGCCUCAGCCUCUCUCCUGUGCCUUCGGGGGCCCCUGCCCGCCGAGCUCAGAGCCAGAGGGGCACAGAGAGUUUGGAGAUCACGUUUCAGAGGCAGCCCAGGCACUGUUUCUCACGUCCCCACCGUCCGUCCCUGCUCUUCUAACAAGUGUUCAGGCUGCCGGUUGGGGCCUCUGUUCACAGGACGGUCCCAACAACCCAUGACGCGCUGCCCUGCAGGGUGUGACUGGUGAGUUUCAGGUGUAGACCCUGCCUGGCGGUCCUGGGCUGCACCCACCUCAGGAGCGCCACCCACCCACCCACUGGACUCCUUUCUGUUCCUGACCUGCAAGUCCAGAUGCUACGAUUCUCAAAGUUGUGUUUUUCUGAAAACCUACAGAGAACGCUUACAAGUGAGGAGGAGAUAUUAUUAUGCGUGAGGAAUCUAGUUUUGAAACAAAAUAACAAAUCCCGUAUGUGGGCUCCGCCCCAUCCAGUGUCCUUGGAUUUCUUGACGCUGAAUAUCCCGCUGUCCCCUGCCUCCGUGACAUCCCUUCUGUCUCCCAGGGUCCUGCCGUUCGACUCUCUGCCGGAUUGGAUUGCUGUGUCCUCUUCACCGGUGGCCCCCAGCCUGGCCUCUUCCCACCUGUCCCUCCCUUACAUGGCUGUGUCUCCAGUCUUCCCUCCUUUUGGGAGUCCAUGUACAACCUCCAUGGUGACGUCCCCCAGGGACGUCUCACCCGCACCUCUUUCUUGAGCUUGUGCCGCUCAGAGGGCAUUUUCACCUGUGUUGCCCCCGACCCAACCGGUCUGAAGCCAAGAUCAGACUCCUUCCCUCCCAAGCAGUGAGUUUCCAACCAACGGAUCCACCAUUGCCUCCAUCUCCUGGGCCGCAGGGCCUUCAUCUACAAGUGUUUAUUAAGUGCUUAACCCUGCAAACCGCUGCCGUGCAGUGGGCAGCAAACCCAGACACAGCCUCCGCCGGAUGGAGGUUACGCUCUACUGGGAGAGGCAGACGCUCGUCAAAUAAUUACUUAAGAAUAUGCAAAGUAAACUGUGGGAAAUGCUCCGAAAGAGAGGCUCGUGACCCUGCUAGGAGGCCAGGGAAGGCUUCCCCGUGGAAGUGAGGCUGGAGCUGAGUGAAGGAUGAGGCCUGACCAGGCAGGAGGCGCUGAGACCAUCCCGGCGGCUGUGCACGCCCAGCAGUGGAAGUCGAGAUGCUCUUGGUCGGGCCCUUUCCCAACAUGGAGCCGUGCGGGCAGCCGUGUGGGCAGAGCCAUGCCGCAGGACCAGCUCACCUGUUCUGUUCAUUGGCCUGGAGGCUUUGGGCACACAGGCGCCGAGCCGCAGGCCUCAACAGCAGUAGAGGCAGUAUUGUUGACUUGCUGUGAGGUCGAAGGUCACAGCUCACACGAGCUCGGGGGUGAUGCAGGCUCGGUGUCUGAGGGGCGGCGGUGGCUCGUACAAAGAGAGAUUGGGUUUGUGUCUUGUCUUAGCCUUGCAAAGUAAAUUCCACGUUGAUUUUAAAACGUUAGCGCAGUCAGAAGCCCCUGAGGUGGGGGACAGAGGACACAGUCGUGGGCGGGCUGGAGGGCCACAGGGGAGGAGAUGCCCCCGAGAGCCUGUGACUCCUAUCCGCAGCAGCUCCCCGAGGGCCCUCCUGCCCGGGCGGGGCUGCCUGUUUCCAGAGUGCCCGCCCUCAGCACAGGGCCGUCCAGUGUCCAGCAAGUACCAGGAACUGUCCGCCACAGCAUCCCCCAGGGCUGCUGUUGCCCUGCUUCCAGGAACCGCUGGUUGUGCGACUGCAAAACUGCGGUGCCGGCAAGCUGGCGUCCUCAGAAAGGCGAGCGGAGAAGCUGUGCUGCCAGCUGCCCGCUGCCCGGGCCCGAGAGUGCUAACAGGCGUCUGACGCUCGCCCCUGGGCUCAGCGGUCCUGUGUGCCCUGUUCAGGAGUGCCGGGGCCCUGGUUGCCCCACCAAAAAGCCCUCGAGCUGAAACAACACAGCUGGGAUCACAGUUUUCCACCUCUCCAGAUCGCUGCUGGAGCCUGUGGAAAAUUUUAGGCCUCUGGAGGUUCACCCUCACGCCCCCCAGGACCCUGCUCAGGGAGCCCGAGGGAGCCGUGAUAAGGUGUCCCCAUCAGCCUACAGGAACGCCACCUGCCCUGAGCCUCCCCAGCCAGAGGGGUUUCCACACGGCCCCCCUUCCCUGCCCACACGCCGCCCACAGCUAGUUCCCUAAGAAAAAGGGCCUCACAGCGUCUUGCUUCAAAGGACGGAAAUCCUAAGGGAGCCUCUACCGGCACCGGCUCGGCCUUAGGGAGCACGUGCUCUUCCAGGCCCUUUGCAGACGGCGCUCGUUCAGUCUUCACAGCAACUCCAUGAAGGAGGAACCGAUACAUCCAUCUGGAGAGGAGUAACCAAGGCUCGAAAAGGCUACAUAAAUGCUCUCAGUCACCCAGCUUGUGGGCAGCAGAUCCGGGAUUCAAAGCCAGAUGAUCUGGCUCUAGAACCCGAGCACGAAGUCCUCCAUGGUCCUUGUGGACCCAGAGUCUGUUCUAAACAUCCUGCCCCGAGCUCCUUCCCUAAGAUCACAGGCUCCAAGAUUUCACCAGAGCAAGGACAUUUCAGCUAAAAUCACUUUCUUUAGCACGGAGCCUCCUGGCAGAGUGAAGAUGAUACAAGCCUGAAACAAAGUAACGGCAGGGCAGGUACUGAGCCAGCGGCUAGGAGGACACAGCUCUGCUCUGUGUCCUGCAUCCCUGGGCAGAAUUGUCCCUGUUCCCCCGCCCACACCGGGCACCCAGGACACCUUGGCGUCCUUGGCGAGUGGGUCACACACUUGGCACCUGCCUGCUCGGGCGCAAAUCUACCCUUAGGCGCUAACACAGACCUGCGCAGGGACCGAACCCUGAGGCCAGGACGCCGCAGGCCCCGCAGUGAGGAGUGGCUCUCACACAGGAUUCGAAGGGCCAUCCGAUCCAUGGAGUCUCUGAGGGGGCACAAGGUCAGGACUCUCCCCCAGGGUCCAGGCUCUUCACACCCACGACCCCACGUGGUGUGUGCAGGAGCUCAGCCCCUUCCCUGCAUCACAGGGACCAGCCGUCGCCUGCCCUCUGGGGACCCGAUGCCUGGAGUGGUCAGGUCGCUAGCGCGGGCCCCUCUCUCAGUUUUCCCCAAACGUUAACGAAAUCCCGCAUCUCCAGGGGAGAGACUGAAUUUCAGUGUUUCCACAUUCCUACCAUGAACAAAAGCCAAAGGAAACCCAGAUGGAGGAUGAUGUGGGUUUAUUUUGCUUUGUUUUCAUUGUGGCCCAAGAUUCUCUGGAAAAAGUGAUCUGUCUGAUUCCGAUGUCGGUAACAACUGAGCUCCUGUUACAGAAGCGAGGACCAGAUCUGCCACCAGGGACUGGCGUGUGGACCAGACAUCCCCGGGGGAAGGGCGCACACGGGGAAAGCUGAACCCUCCCUGCCCCGACACAAGAGAGGGAGGCCGGCAGGUGAAACUGGAGAACGGGGUCUGGGAAGGGAGCCGGGAGCUCCCUCUAUAGAGUCUACCUGAAAAUAUGUAGGUCAGGAACGCUAGUCUCCUGACCCCGGAGGGAAUCAAGGGGAGACUUACGGAGCGGGAUGCAUUAGGGGUUAUCUGAGUCCAUCUCCCAAUUCCAAGCUCUCCCAGGAGAGCCGCUGCUCCCAAGAAGGGGGACUUGCCAACCUGUCUCGUUAGCUGAGAGCUCAGCCACACAAAAAAGCCAAAUAAAUAGGCAGUGACUUUCUUUGGUUGAAAUUUUAAAAAUCCCGGAUGAGUUUGUGUCUCAGAGCUGCCGGGUCACCAAUUCUGACUCCACUGCCGGAUGUUUACAGCCUGAGAUGAGGAUCUUCUCAACAUCACGAUUCACUUUCCUUGUUGUAGAAUCAGGCUGCUGCCACCAGCGGUCCCAGAGCCAGCUCGCAGGGCUGUGCUGCGUGACACGUGGCCUCCGCCACGGAGUGCAUGCUCGCAGGAUGCGCUCGCGCUGGGUGCCCGCCGCCUCCCCAGUCUGUGAGUGUCCCCAAGCCCCCGUGAGCCCAGCCCGGGCCUCAGCGCCCCGCAGGCAGCCUGCCCUCUGCUCCUUGCACUGUGCCCCGUGAGGCCACUCUGCUCAGGGCUCCCUGGGCAGCCCCGGGAUGGGGGACGGGGUUUUCCUCUCGACCUGGGAGCUGGAAGGUAGGAUGCGGAGCCAUGCCGUCCCAUCAGCUUAUCCCCCAAUCAUAAAAGCCACAGCAAGUACCAUUAGCCACUCGUGCAGAGGCCAUGCGAGCAGCAUAGCUGCGGCCCUUCAGCUGCCUCCCGGCCGCACGGCUGUCCACAGGGACAGUGCACACCCAGACCUCAGGGUGGAAGAAGAAAAGCGUGUUACUGCAGCCAGCAGAGGGGGAGGAAAGAGGACCCACCUGGCACAAUUAGGUCUCCAAUUAGACAGAGCACACGCACGUCUCCUCACUCCCAGCCCGCUCACACCUGCUCACACACAGGUGCUCACACACACCCGCUCACACACGGAGACUUACGUGAGUUCAGGGCUAAAUUGUCUGUCUCUUCAU